GGGAGGGAGGUGCAGAUUUGCACGGCUGGCCUCAGCGGGAGGCGCGGAAAUGCAAGCCGAGCUUGCUGGCGUGAAAGCCUCCAGGGUCUGGCACCCCCAAAAACGACCUCCCACCUCAAUCCCUUCCCCCAUUGCCCUUGGCCCCCCCGGGUUAACCCUCUUCCUUUUCCUUCAUUUCACCCCACCCCGUUACCUACGUGGCCGACCCAAACUGAAAGCAUUUCGUGUAUAUAUAAUUUUUUUUCUUUGCUGCCACUUUUUGGGGGGUCUUCUCCAGGCCCCCAUAAGCGGACCUGCUCGAUGGAGGAGGCAUUUGGGGGCUCAGGAAGAAAUUAGCGCAGCUCCAAACCUGUACGGACUGCACAACUUAAACUCCAGGACUCAAUGAUAAGGAUCCACAUACACACAGGUACAGAAAUACAGCCAGAGCAGAGCCUUUUCAGACCCGAGCUGACCGGAAGACAUUGCCUUUCAUUCAUUCAUUCUGCCCGCGUCUGUGGAGACCUUUACUAGGCGACAAGCCCUGGAGCAGAAGUUGGACUUUUUUUAAAGGUCCCUGCGCUCGCCAAGAGGAGGAAAUAGAUGCUCAGGAGUGAACUACCGAGAGAAUCGGAUCUGGCGCCUCCUAACGCAGCUGGCAGACAUGCGAAGGGCAUCCGCCUGGACUUCAUAACCCUAACUACUUGUGGAAUGGAGACAUUUAGUUUUCCCCCAAGAGGAAGGCUGCCUGAGCUUGAUCAACUAAACCUUAAAGUGUACCUCUUUGAAGAAGAUGCAGAGUUCUAAGACGACCUCUUGAGAUCCAGCAGACAAGGUGGGGGAAACGGUGCUCUACAGCCUCCUGGCUCCAAAGUCCAGGCUCUUCUUCACUGUAUUCCAGACCGCCUAUGGUUUCUGGGCUUAUGAGAUCUUCAGGGCAGAAACUGAGCUGCAGGGCCACGCAGGGGCAGGGGACCAGCUGCCAUUGCCCGCAGCUGAAGCAGGGGCAGGCGCUUCCUGCCAGCCCCAAACCCCAGAUCCUCACAGUCUCCAACAUCCCUCAAGAUAAUGAGGCUUUGGCUCAAUAGUUAACAAAUCCGACUAGGAAUUAUGAGGUCGAGGGUUCAA